rnacentral:rRNA from 1 species
CAGUAAGGAAUAUUGGUCAAUGGGCGGAAGCCUGAACCAGCCAUGCCGCGUGCAGGAAGACGGCCCUACGGGUUGUAAACUGCUUUUGCAGGGGAAUAAACCCCUCUAUGUAUAGAGGGCUGAAUGUACCUUGAGAAUAAGGAUCGGCUAACUCCGUGCCAGCAGCCGCGGUAAUACGGAGGAUCCGAGCGUUAUCCGGAUUUAUUGGGUUUAAAGGGUGCGUAGGCGGCCUGUUAAGUCAGGGGUGAAAGACGGUAGCUCAACUAUCGCAGUGCCUUUGAUACUGAUGGGCUUGAAUGCAGAUGAGGUAGGCGGAAUGUGACAAGUAGCGGUGAAAUGCAUAGAUAUGUCACAGAACACCGAUUGCGAAGGCAGCUUACUAAGCUGUGAUUGACGCUGAGGCACGAAAGCGUGGGGAUCAAACAGGAUUAGA